CCUGGAGUCCUUUCCAUCAUUUAACCUGAACAUGGAGUGCACACUCAGCCAGGUACUAUUCUCGCCUACCUGACAGUGCAGCAGGAGGAGCUCAUGCCUGCUUAUGUGCAACCUCCCCUCUACUUUUGAUCACCUUCACUUAGAGGGACAACUAAAGAACUAACAUUGGGGAUCUGAUCAGAUUUACCCACAGCUGUGUGCUCAACAACAGACACAAAAGAAGUACCUCAAUAAACCGUCUGAGACAAAUGUACAAUUAUACAGUCACCCAGUGUGUGAAUAGUUUAUAAAUUUAACAUGAGUAUCUUGAAUAAGGAAAAUAUACUUCCUACCCUCUCUCACCACCUCAGCAACUGAAUGCAAGAUUCUGCUAAAUUUCCAGAACUUUGAUAUUUCUCCACCCCUUCCUCAUAUUAUGUCAGUCACAUUUUUAAAAAUUCCCUACAUCACAAAUAUGCGGAAAUCUUUUUAAAAUUUUUCAUAGUGUGUUCUCUAAAACUGUCCCUACCUUUUUCUGCCAACACUUGCCCAAGUGACCCAGUUGCUACUUUGAAUCAAUGCUGAGUGCCGCAUGUAAGUUACAUAAACACCCUAAUAUGUUAGAGAAGUCAGAAUAAAUGGAAUGCCAUUUAUAAGGCAGCCCAUCAGAAAUAUAGUCUGUAUGCUCCCGAAUUGUCAAACCUUGGUUCUUCUUCUCCAAAAUGAACCUACAUAAGAGUGUCAGAUCAGAACUGAAACCUUCAACUCACUGUCUGGUUUCGUGGCAGCCAGCACCAAGGUGCACUCAAAAGAAAGCCUUUCGCAGACAUCACCUACAGUAAAACUCUCCAGAAAGCUGGCAAGAAAGAAAAAAGAUUAACCUAGUUGCAUAAAGAGCAGUUCUGGGUUGUGGCUGGCUGGCGCAGGUUCGCCUCACAGGAGCAGGACGCUGCCUGCAAGGCUCCCCCAGGAGUGCUCUCCUCUUGUCCCCAUGCUGAGAGUCCACCGCACUGUUUCUCAAGCUAUAUUUGGCUGAGUGGUUAUUUCACUUUCUCUUUUCCUCUACUCAUCUUAUUCUGUAUCCCCAUGCGAGGAGAAAGCAACCCAGAAAGAGCUAGCCAGUUGUUCAGGGCUCAUUACUUAAUUUCCUCUUUCUAAAUAAUUCAUAAAGACUCUCUUAGCAGCUUGCUUUUCCUGGGAGGUAGCCUCACAUCGUCUUGCUCCGCAAAGGAGUCUGCUUCUUUUUGCGAAGUAGGCAGUUCUGAGUUCUGAUCCUUCUCUUUCCUAAAUCAGGGAAAGAUGGCAGGCUUCAGAGUUUGUUACCAGACUCCAGCUGGUUCAGGACUGACCAUCAGCUCACACUUACAUCUGCCUCACUUUGUUGCUUAGGCAGAAUCUGGACCAUACUCUGUCCCAUGAGCUCAUAAUAUCUCCCAAGAAAACCGUCUCUCUGCCUAGUUAGUCACCACCCCCUAUCAUUUAACAGCAAUAGUAAAAUCACACACAUUUGUUUGAAUUAUAUAUUGUAUUUAUUUUUUCCAUUCAUUAUAUUUUAAAUCUGCUUAAAAUAUCUAGUUAUAUGUUGAAUCAUGCCAAUAACCUAGUAUAUUAAUUAGGUUUCUUUAGAGAAAUAAAAAAUAAAAUUAUACUCAUAUGACUUAAACUCACUUUUCUUCUUCCUCCCCACACCCAAGCUCUAUCUCUGUCUUUCUCUGUCUCUACAUCUACUCCAUACCUAUCUACCUGACUGCCAUCUACUCUCUAUUAUCUGCUGUCUGAUAUUUCCUUCCAUACCCAUGAGUUCCACAUCUUGAGAUUCACAGAUUAAAAUAUUCUUAAGUGUUAUCUAUACUGCAAAUGUACAUAACUUUCCUUCUCCUUUAAUCCUAAGCAUUGCAACAGUUUGCAGCAUUAACAUUGUAUAAAGUAUUAUGAGUAAGCUUGAGGGGACUUAAAAUGUUAUGAGUGAUAUGCCUAGACCACACCCAUACUAUAACAUUGUAUAAAAGACUUUGUGGCCUUCAUUGAGUCCUGGGGACUAAUGUAAGUACUAUGCCAGGUGGCAGUUAUGUUAAUGAAUUUUCUUAGGUGUCCAUUGUGGUUCUUACAAUACAAAGUUUGCUGGGUAAACCAGCAGACUGGAGAGAAGAGCAGAGCUGCUGCUCCAAGCCAGGGGCAGUAUCCUAGCAAAAUGCCUUUUCCUGGGGGAAGGAAGAAUAAGAGUGGUCAGUUUUUGGCUAUUGAGGUUUCCCACUGUUUGACCAAGGCUCACACAUAUUCUGGAAGACUAUUGACUGUACUGACUGUCCAUCAUUUUACAAGCUGACCUCAGAUAAAACCCAGAAAUGUUCACAAUUACCUUUUCCAAACAUUUGGACUUAAUGACCACCAAAAUUGGUGCUUAAAAUUAAUCUCAAACAUACUGAAGUCAUUUGCUUAUACUAACUCAACAAGCUCCAUAAUAGCCCUUUCCUUUGGCUCUAGUCAAUCUCAUAUGUAUGAUGGUCUCCUGAAGGUGCACUUGGAAGCUCUACCCUGUCCAUCCCUUUUCCCCAACUCCUCCUCAGUUUCCACUCAUAGGUAAAUUUCCAUAGAAACUUUUUGAGAUCUGCCAGAUUAGUGUUUCUAAUCAUGUGUUCCUUUUGUAUGGAAUAAAGGAAAUACUUUUCUGGUUCUUAGAAAAAGAGUAAAUUUCAUAUUUAUCUUAUGUGAUUUUAUGACUAUCUUUCUGUAAUUUGACAGUAAAAUUCAGAAAAUGGGUCUAAUUUUACUCAGUGUGUACUGUGUGAUUCUAUCAGCAUGUCUGAUACAUAGAAAUUAAAUGAUACCUUUUUGUUAUUUUACUAGGUAAAUUAAUUUAUGAGAAGGCAGUUAAUAUUGCUUCCUUUAUUGAAUGUUUCCAGAAAAGCAUGCAACAGCUAAAAUAACCAGACUGAAAUGUGAAGAUAGUCAAAAUGUAAUAUACUAUGAAUAAUUAGACUCUUCCCAGACAACCUGCUCAUACAUUUCCAGGCAUAGUCUCAGGAUGGUGGGAACUUCAAACAUCAACCAGAGCUAAUUCUUUCAUACCAUAAACUAAAUAAUACCGUUUUGUAACUCCAGUACUGGAAAGAGAAGAGACAAAAGAUGAGGAAAGGGAGAGAUAAGGGGUAGAGGAGAGAAUGGAAGUAAGGAGUGAGAAGAAUGGUGAGACAGAUUUCUUAUAUUUGAAGUAGGUAACCCUAGAUAGCAAUGGAUCUGCAUAAUUAACUACAAGGAAAUACAUUAAGAAAUAUAUUGAAAUAAGCAAGUUUUUCACUUUUUAAGAUUGAAAAAUAUUCUUGUUUUUUCUCUCUCUAAAUAUAGUAAACUUUACAGUUGAGAACAUAUGGAUUUGUCUGCUUGAAAACUACAUAAAAGGUACCAUGCAACAUCCACUGGUCACCAAAAUGACUGGGGCUUCUGAGGAAGAAGCACACAUGUGCCUUAUUGAUGCCACUAGAAGGCACCAAACCCCAGGAACACGAAUGAACUCUUCUACACACAGGGAAAACCACUUUUCUCAUAACUAUGUAUUACCACCUAAAUGUAUAUACAGUUUUGUGUUAUGCUCAUUGAUCAGCCCAGGCACAGUCAUGGAACAAACAUAGGCAAGUGACACAGAUAUAACUGCCAUUUAAUGAACAUCCAAGAGCAUGCAUGGUUCUUUCCUCUUGUGGAUUCUUGGAGAGAUCUAGAAGUGCGUCAUUGUAUAUUUAGGUACAAAACUACUUCAUUCAUCCAUGAUCUUAUGAUCAUUCCAUUCUGGUUCCAUCUGUAUUCCCUUGAUUAUUAAAUACUGCUUUAUCUAACUAACAUGUUGCUUUUAUCCUGAAAAUGAUAUGAAAAUAUUUCACUGAAAUACAGUUUGGAUUUAUUCCAGUUUCUAAAAGACUCAAAGUACUAGGAAGUUAGUUCUUAACUCAUACUGUACAAAUCCUUUUGGCAUUAUGAUAGAGCAUGGCAUUGUCAUCUAUAAGGUUUACACCCAAGAAUAUUACAAUUAGCUUACAAAGAAAGAAAAGCGUGCACACACACACACACACACACACACACACACACACACACACACACACACACACACACACACACACACACACACACACACUCAGGCACACAUAGGAUUUCAUAACAUCCUAAGUACAUUUAUGAUUUUGCGUUGAGCAUACUCAUAGCUCUAUUAGUGUCCAUGUGAUCUAUAAGCUAUAGAUUGGUCACUUCUGGUAGAACCACUGAAACAUCAGAAAUUGACACACUAAUGUUGUGUGUGACUUAAGGUAUGGCCAUAAGAACAAGAAUCACAUGCCUCCUGUCUCCUAAGAAAAUCUUAGUUUCUUCUUCAUAAUGCAGGUUUUUCGUUGUUAGGACUCCAUUUCAUCCCUCAAACUGUCUGGAAUCAGAUGAUCAGUUGUACGGUUACCUUAGCUGCAAGUACAGCAUAUGUGCUGCGCACUGUGAACGCAUACUCUUGGAAUAAGUAAAUGCUUCCAACAGACUAGCGUUACAUUCUAAUCGAUUGCCCACUUCUCCACACACUGACAGCACAUGCGAAUAGUGUGAUGCUGAAAAGCAACAGAUGAAAAAUUUGUAUGACCUCUUAAGCCUUACAUUAGAAAUAAAAUUAUAUCUUUACUUUGGGACAAUAACAAUCAAUGUUUUACCCAUUACUGUGAUGAAUGAAACUUGCACAAAGAUUGUAUGCUGGUCCUUCAUAGAUACAUGUUCAUGUUGCUUUUAUAAAAAAAAAUGGCUUAUUUUCUCACAGGAGUCAAAAAUCCUCUCACUACAUAUUAAUACCUAGAAAGGGAAGCCCAUCUUCUCUCCUGCUUCUGUGAGGGACACCAUGGUGCACUUUCAUCAUCUGUCUCCUAUAGCUGACUAGUGAAACAAUUCACUCUGGUGGAGGAAGUCGUCCAUCUCACUAUUGCUUUUCUAGACUGCAGUUGAUUUUUAUCUUUAAAAUGUUUUAAUACUUCAUUAAAGUAUUUGUGACGAUAUGUUUCUCAUGCAACAUUUUCCUUUCAGAACAAAUCCAUAGUAUCGUAAUUCUUUGUAUGAAACUGCAACCAAGCACAGAUUCAAAUAAACAUGCCAUGCUCUUUGGAUUUGGUUCUAAUAUCUACUAAUGUAGAUGGAAAAAGAGAACCAACCAAACGUCCCCCUCCACUACUUCAAGGAAUAACCGCUGAGAAGAAGCAAUUACAGUAAAAUUGCUUACACCUUAAACCCCAGGUGCUCUGGAUGGAUGGACAAUCCCCAGCAGUGCCAACAGGAACUAAUUAGUUUUGUAUUGCCACAUACUCCUUCCUAUGAUGUUUUGCCUCAAGGACUAAAAGCAACAGAUACAAGCAAGCAUGGACUGAUUUCUGAUACUAUGAGCCAAAAUCAGCCUUUGUUCCUUGUAAGUUGUUUAUGGUAUUUUACAUAGCAAUGGAAAUAUGAGUACUGUUAAAAUGAUUAUCUAAUGCAAACUUAGUGUGUAUUUGAAAUUUCUUUUCAAGAGAUGAUCCUAUUCUGUCAUGAGUUGAUAAAUUCCUCUAGUCCAAUCACACUUGAAAGUGGUAAAUAUGCAAUCAUCAAUGCCUGAGAAAGGGUAACAUUUUUCUCUUAAAAGCACAGUGGCUUUCCAUAAUGGCUGUCCAAGUUUGCAUCCCUAACAGCAGAGGAAGUGUGUUCCCCUUACUCAACAUCCUCUCCAGGAUAACCUAUCAUUGGUGUUUUCUUAGCCAUUCUGGGAAGUUUAAGAUGGAAUCACAGAGUCCUUUGAAUUUGAAUUUUUCUGAUGACUAAGGAAGUUGACCAUUUCCUUUUUUAUAGUUAAUUUAAGUCUUUGUUUAUUUGGGGCAAGGUGGCUGCGGGACCGGCCAGG